UCCACUUGCCUCGGCCUCCCACAGUGUUGGGAUUACAGGCGUGAGUCACCAUGCCUGGCCAAGAAAAGUUCUUUUAAGUAUGUAAAUGAUUCAAUUUGGAUGAAGGUGAAUAGCCCUAUUCAGCCAACUGAGGCAGGCAGACUGAAGUGAAAAUAAAUAAGGAGAACUUAGCAUUUCCUUGUUUGACUUUUAAUGGAAUAAUGUCAUUGCCAGGCAUGGACUCAAACAAAGUAGGCACUUGGUUAAUAUGUAUUGAAUGAAAGAAAUGAGCAGGUAGGCUUUUAGGAAGUGGAUCUUUUGACUGACUCCCAAAUGCUGGUCAUUGCAUUUCUAGAACAAAGGCCACAUUUUAGAAACAACUGGGGAGUCUUUUUCAUGGACACAUGCCCAGCCCCAUUAGAGCAUCCUGGCAGGGUGUCCAGCCGUGUAUGUUUUGAAGCUCCUGUGGUUCAGACACAACCUGUUACACAACUACCACCUUGUUAUCUCUGUGGUCCUGGCCUGUGCUGAUGCUGUGAUAUUUUCACCCUGAAAUGAAGAGUCAUCCCAACAUCAAGGUCAGUAAACCAAUUCCUGUCCUUAAAAUGGAUUCAUUAUUAUUUGAAUUUCAAACAACAGACCAACCAUAGCUCAAUGUUUCUCAAGAGUAUCCUGUGGAGCACAGUGCGUGAACGCCCAGAAGAAAGCAGUCUGUGGUCAGGUGGGUUUCUGUGCCAUUUGCUGCCACCUUCCCUGCAAACAGUGAUUUACAGCACACAUUGUUCUUGUGUCUGUUCUGCAGUGAUAAAACCCAUUUAACUCAGUGGUUCCCAAAUGUACUGACCGUGGAACUGUUUUACUCAGGGGACACUGUUAACAUCCUGUAGAAGCACAGUAGCAGGUAUCCAGCCUGCAUACGAUAAGACAACCAGAACCAAAUUUGGCAGGUACAUGUCUGGAACUCUGUUUCAUUAUGCCGUAAAAUAAAACUACGAAUUUCAUUCAACAAAUCUGUACUGAAUAAGUAGGCUUCACUCUUGGGAUGUCAACUUUUAAAACUUACUUAAUAUCAGCUAUCGUUAUAUAAUCUUUGUUCAUAAUGACGCUGUCUGGUUGAACACAAACUGGCUGGGUGUUAAAUUCCACUUGUGUUUAUGAUAUUUAAUAAUGUCCUAAGAAGGCAGCCAGUAGAACCUUGGCUACUGUUUUUCAAAAGUGGCUCUGCAUUGCUCCUACAUAACCCCGUACAUUACUCCACAGUCCUGUUAGAGCCCUGAAAGGGAAACUGCUAAAAAUAAGGUUCUUCAUUUAGGUGACUAGGAACUCCCAAUAUUUUUGCCCUAGGGAAUACUGGGAGACAAAUCUCUACGAUCACAAAUUACUAAUGGUUUCCCCAGAACUGCUGGUGGCCAUAUCCCCUGGCAUGUGGAAGGGCCCAGAAGAGGCCACUCUACUGCAGAGGCCAACAGAAGAGUGUUGCCCAGGCUGGUCUCAAACUUCUGGGCUCAAGCAACCCUCCAGCCUCGGCCUCCCAAAGUGUUGGGAUCAUAGGCAUGAGACACCGUGCCUGGCGAAGAUAUUUUUACCGAAAAGGACAGAGGGUGUACUUGGAGGCACAUACCAAAGAAAUGCCAUGUGAGAACAAGCAAGAAGGUGGCCAUCUGUAAACCAGGAAGAGUGUCCUCACCAGAAAAUGAAGUGGCUUCAACUUUGAUCUCAGAAUUCCAGCCUCCAUAACUGUGAGAAAAUACAUUUCUGUUCUUUCAGCCAGUCUAUGGCAUUACAUUAUAGCAACCCAAGCAAACUAAGGCAUGCCCAGAAAUGACUACAGGGGUAAAAAUGAGCAGAUAAUUGGUUUUUAGUGUCCUGAAGUUUAUCUGCUUUUCCUUAUGUACUUAUAUCGUUGCCACUGCCACCAGGCUACUCUUCCUUCUUGUCUGCUCCCAAACAGGGAAGAGCGAGCAUAAUGGUUCCUAAACAUUUCCGUUAUACCCGUACAGUUCUGAUAGAGUUGUAAAAAUGGGAGAAUAUGAAGGUUAUUCAGGCUUCCCAAUGAUAUGGUGUGAGAUUCACUCUGUACUAAAUAUCCCAAAACUCUAGCCACAAACACAGCAAAACUCAAAGUCAACAAGUUUUCACUGAAAAUAGAUUUCAUUUCAUUCAAAUUAGAAAUGUGUUCUCCCAAACCGCCUCCCAACAAAGGUCUCUGCUUGAUAAAUGAAAAGAUAGUAAAAGAAAACUUCACAUUUCUUUUUAUGUGGAUCUAUCAAAAGGUACAUAAUCAAAACAACUUUAACACCCGACCUAUCCAUGAGGAGUCUGGAUGAUUCACUCUGAAGGAAAAGGGGAGAGAAGAGAGAAUCACUGCUCUGAUUUGAAGUGUGCAAAGUUCUUAUCUAUGUCACUUAACACUGGUAUAAUUAAUACAGAAAGGAAAAUGACCCUCAAGAGGAAGGUUUCAUUGAGCAGAGCGUAAGAGGAACAAUAAGAGGGUAGGAGACACCUCCUGAGAAGGUUUGCUUGUGUUCAGCUGAAGAUUAAUAGGAAACAGUGAAAAAGCAACGUCCUGUGAUCAGUAACUUUAAAGACAAGCUUGGUUCUCUCUUUCUGGCACUACUGACAUUCCCACCAUUCUAGCUUC
rnacentral:lncRNA from 1 species